rnacentral:tmRNA from 1 species
GGGGGCGUAAUGGCUUCGACGGGGAUUUUGAAGUACGAUAAGCGAGCAGAGUAGUGAACACUCUUCAAAGUCACAACUUUAUAAAUUCAAACGACAACAACUCAUUUGAAUUGGCUGCUGCUUAGUCAGCGCCCGUCUGUCCUGUGAUUACCACGGCAUAGGAACAGGCGUCGAUUAGUGGUGAACGUCUCUCGGUGAUGUCUGUAACCGAUUGAUGUAUCGCAGACUACUGAGCAGAGGUGCGUGUUUGUUUGCACAGCUGUAAGGGAAUGGGGCAUAGCCCGCAAUAACAAACUACGCUCGUAGAAGGUUGUAUGAAUGGGUUUUCGGACACGGGUUCGACUCCCGUCGCCUCCACCA